rnacentral:misc_RNA from 1 species
UUCCGCCCGUCGCUACUACCGAUUGAAUGGUUAUAGUGAGCAUAUGGGAUCAGCAGGAUUCGAUGGGCAACCAUCAUUUCUUGUUAGAGAACUAUGGCAAACUAAGCUAUUUAGAGGAAGUAAAAGUCGUAACAAGGUUUCCGUAGGUGAACCUGCGGAAGGAUCAUUACUUAUGUAAUGGGGGGAAGGGAAAAAAAAAAAAAAAAAUUUUUUUUUUUUUUUUUCCUUCAUUCAACCCAUCAUCUCUUUACUGUGAAAACAUGGCGGUUAUAUAACGGUGACCGGUAUGAGGCUAUAUGGAUAGGCCUUUACCUGGAUAUGAUCCAAGCCAAUCAUUACCAAUAUUAUGGCCUGUAAAAGGGUUAUAAAGGCGGUUAAUGGUAUCCAACAAAUAUAAUAUACCUUGAAAUUCAGUUAAUAUUAUUUUAUAAUUAUAAAACAACUUUUAACAACGGAUCUCUUGGUUCUCGCAUCGAUGAAGAACGUAGCAAAGUGCGAUAACUAGUGUGAAUUGCAUAUUCAGUGAAUCAUCGAGUCUUUGAACGCAACUUGCACUCUAUGGUUUUCCGUANAGUACGCUUGCUUCAGUAUCAUAAAGACCCCAUCCUGAUUAUUAUUUUUUUAUUAAAAUAAUUAAUUUUGGAGAUAAUAAAAAUGAGGCUCUUUCUUUUCUUUUUUUUUUUUUUUAAAAAAAUUUUUUUUUUUUUUCUCCUUUUUGUGUAGUUAAUACUCUAUUAAAUUUAUUUACUUGGUAUUAUAACGAUUAUGCAAGAAGGGAGAGAACAAAGAAUAAUGAAAGAGAGUUUUUAAAUAAAUUCUUUUUUCAUUUUUUCAAUCAAUGAUCUGAAGUCAAGUGGGAUUACCCGCUGAACUUCC